AUUGAACGCUGGCGGCAUGCCUUACACAUGCAAGUCGAACGGCAGCACGGGGCAACCUGGUGGCGAGUGGCGAACGGGUGAGUAAUGCAUCGGAACGUGCCAUUGAGUGGGGGAUAACGUAGCGAAAGUUACGCUAAUACCGCAUAUUCUGUGAGCAGGAAAGCAGGGGAUCGCAAGACCUUGCGCUCUGGGAGCGGCCGAUGUCGGAUUAGCUAGUUGGUGGGGUAAAGGCCUACCAAGGCGACGAUCCGGUAGCGGGUCUGAGAGGAUGAUCCGCCACACUGGGACUGAGACACGGCCCAGACUCCUACGGGAGGCAGCAGUGGGGAAUUUUGGACAAUGGGCGGAAGCCUGAUCCAGCCAUGCCGCGUGAGUGAAGAAGGCC
rnacentral:rRNA from 1 species